UUGCACUACGCUUAAACGAGCGGCGGACGGGUGAGUAACGCGUGAACAAUCUGUCCUUUACAGGGGGAUACCACUUGGAAACAGGUGCUAAUACCGCAUAAGACCACGGUACCGCAUGAUACAGGGGUCAAAGGAGCAAUCCGGUGAGGGGUGAGUUCGCGUCCGAUUAGAUAGUUGGUGAGGUAACGGCCCACCAAGUCAACGAUCGGUAGCCGACCUGAGAGGGUGAUCGGCCACAUUGGAACUGAGAUACGGUCCAAACUCCUACGGGAGGCAGCAGUGGGGAAUAUUGGGCAAUGGGCGAAAGCCUGACCCAGCAACGCCGCGUGAGGGAUGAAGGUUCUCUGGGUUGUAAACCUCUGUCCUAAGUGACGAAGGAAGUGACGGUAGCUUAGGAGGAAGCCCCGGCUAACUACGUGCCAGCAGCCGCGGUAAUACGUAGGGGGCGAGCGUUGUCCGGAAUGACUGGGCGUAAAGGGCGCGUAGGCGGCUAUUUAAGUUAGGAGUGAAAGUCCUGCUUUCAAGGUGGGAAUUGCUUUUAAUACUGGAUAGCUUGAGUGCAGAAGAGGUAAGCGGAAUUCCAAGUGUAGCGGUGAAAUGCGUAGAGAUUUGGAAGAACACCAGUGGCGAAGGCGGCUUACUGGGCUGUAACUGACGCUGAGGCGCGAAAGCGUGGGGAGCGAACAGGAUUAGAUACCCUGGUAGUCCACGCUGUAAACGAUGAAUGCUAGGUGUAGGGGGUAUCGACCCCUCCUGUGCCGCAGUAAACACAAUAAGCAUUCCGCCUGGGGAGUACGGCCGCAAGGUUGAAACUCAAAGGAAUUGACGGGGGCCCGCACAAGCAGCGGAGCAUGUGGUUUAAUUCGAAGCAACGCGAAGAACCUUACCAGGUCUUGACAUCGAUGUAAAGGCAUACGAAAAUAUGCUGAGGCUUCGCGCACGACUAGAAGACAGGUGGUGCAUGGUUGUCGUCAGCUCGUGUCGUGAGAUGUUGGGUUAAGUCCCGCAACGAGCGCAACCCUUAUGAUCAGUUACUAACACGCAAAGGUGAGGACUCUGAUAAGACCGCCGGGGUCAACUCGGAGGAAGGUGGGGACGACGUCAAAUCAUCAUGCCCCUUAUGACCUGGGCUACACACGUGCUACAAUGGUGGAAACAAAGAGCAGCGAAGUUGUGAAGCAGAGCGAAUCUCAAAAAAGCCAUCUCAGUUCGGACUGUGGGCUGCAACCCGCCCACACGAAGUUGGAGUUGCUAGUAAUCGCGGAUCAGAACGCCGCGGUGAAUACGUUCCCGGGCCUUGUACACACCGCCCGUCACACCAUGGGAGUUGGGAGCACCCGAA
rnacentral:rRNA from 1 species